rnacentral:misc_RNA from 1 species
GAUGAAGAACGUAGCGAAAUGCGAUACUUGGUGUGAAUUGCAGAAUCCCGUGAACCAUCGAGUCUUUGAACGCAAGUUGCGCCCGAAGCCAUCAGGUUGAGGGCACGUCUGCCUGGGCGUCACAUAUCGUUGCCCAAUGCCUAUUGCAGUGCAAUAGGAAUUUCUAGGGCGAAUGAUGGCUUCCCGUGAGCGUUGUUGCCUCGCGGUUGGUUGAAAAUCGAGUCCUUGGUAGGGUGUGCCAUGGUAGAUGGUGGUCGAGUUAGAACGAUACCGAUCAUGUGCAUGCUCCCCAAAAUAUGGCCUCUAUGACCCACACGCGUCUUUUGCCGCUCAUGACGAGACCUCAGGUCAGGCGGGGCUACCCGCUGAAUUUAAGCAUAUCAAUAAGCGGAGGA